rnacentral:rRNA from 1 species
GAUGAACGCUGGCGGCGUGCCUAAUACAUGCCAGUAGAACGCUGAAGGAAGGAGCUUGCUCUUUCCGGAUGAGUUGCGAACGGGUGAGUAACGCGUAGGUAACCUGCCUGGUAGCGGGGGAUAACUAUUGGAAACGAUAGCUAAUACCGCAUAACAGUAGAUGUUGCAUGAUAUCUACUUAAAAGGUGCAAUUGCACCACUACCAGAUGGACCUGCGUUGUAUUAGCUAGUUGGUGAGGUAACGGCUCACCAAGGCGACGAUACAUAGCCGACCUGAGAGGGUGAUCGGCCACACUGGGACUGAGACACGGCCCAGACUCCUACGGGAGACAGCAGUAGGGAAUCUUCGGCAAUGGACGGAAGUCUGACCGAGCAACGCCGCGUGAGUGAAGAAGGUUUUCGGAUCGUAAAGCUCUGUUGUAAGAGAAGAACGAGUGUGAGAGUGGAAAGUUCACACUGUGACGGUAUCUUACCAGAAAGGGACGGCUAACUACGUG